rnacentral:rRNA from 1 species
CUCCUGGAAACGGGUGGUAAUGCCGGAUGCUCCAGUUGGAUGCAUGUCCUUCUGGGAAAGAUUCAUCGGUAUGGGAUGGGGUCGCGUCCUAUCAGCUUGAUGGCGGGGUAACGGCCCACCAAGGCUUCGACGGGUAGCCGGCCUGAGAGGGCGACCGGCCACAUUGGGACUGAGAUACGGCCCAGACUCCUACGGGAGGCAGCAGUGGGGAAUAUUGCACAAUGGGCGCAAGCCUGAUGCAGCGACGCCGCGUGCGGGAUGACGGCCUUCGGGUUGUAAACCGCUUUUGACUGGGAGCAAGCCCUUCGGGGUGAGUGUACCUUUCGAAUAAGCACCGGCUAACUACGUGCCAGCAGCCGCGGUAAUACGUAGGGUGCAAGCGUUAUCCGGAAUUAUUGGGCGUAAAGGGCUCGUAGGCGGUUCGUCGCGUCCGGUGUGAAAGUCCAUCGCUUAACGGUGGAUCCGCGCCGGGUACGGGCGGGCUUGAGUGCGGUAGGGGAGACUGGAAUUCCCGGUGUAACGGUGGAAUGUGUAGAUAUCGGGAAGAACACC